rnacentral:rRNA from 1 species
UGAUCCUGGCUCAGAGCGAACGCUGGCGGCAGGCCUAACACAUGCAAGUCGAACGAACUCUUCGGAGUUAGUGGCGGACGGGUGAGUAACACGUGGGAACGUGCCUUUAGGUUCGGAAUAACUCAGGGAAACUUGAGCUAAUACCGGAUGUGCCCUUCGGGGGAAAGAUUUAUCGCCUUUAGAGCGGCCCGCGUCUGAUUAGCUAGUUGGUGAGGUAAAGGCUCACCAAGGCGACGAUCAGUAGCUGGUCUGAGAGGAUGAUCAGCCACAUUGGGACUGAGACACGGCCCAAACUCCUACGGGAGGCAGCAGUGGGGAAUCUUGCGCAAUGGGCGAAAGCCUGACGCAGCCAUGCCGCGUGAAUGAUGAAGGUCUUAGGAU